GCGGAUGUGGUGGAAUUGGUAGACACGCUAGUCUUAGGAACUAGUGAGGUAACUCGUGAAGGUUCAAGUCCUUUCAUCCGCACCA
rnacentral:tRNA from 1 species